GCUCCCGUGGGAAACAACUUGGAGCAGACCACUGUGAGGGAAAAUAAGGGUAUAGAGAACUGACCUAACUAACAUUAAUAAAAUCCCUAACUAAGCCAACCCAACCUACAACAAGGUCAACAUUUGUAGACCUUUCGUAUUGCCAGUUGGGCACUAAUGAGAAAUCAUCAAUGGAUCAGGAGCAGCAUCCACAUUUCUUUCCCUGUCCACAGUUCACCAUGGUAGGCACUGUCCUUUGAAACAAGCUCACAAACAGCAGGCUAGAGCAUGUAAAAGGCCAUGCAAAAUGUAUCUCACAAAACUGUUCGGAGCAAGAUGAUAUUUAAAGCUCCUUUUCUGUACAAGAAGAGAUGACCCCACUGACAGCAAACUUCCAGCAGAAGGUUCCUAAUCCUGAAGUGCCA